AUAAUUCGAUGCAACGCGUAAAACCUUACCUACCCUUGACAUGUCCGGAAUCCCGAAGAGAUUUGGGAGUGCUCGCAAGGAGAACCGGAACACAGGUGCUGCAUGGCUGUCGUCAGCUCGUGUCGUGAGAUUGUUGGGUUAAGUCCCGCAACGAGCGCAACCCUUGUCAUUAGUUGCCAUCAUUUGGUUGGGCACUCUAAUGAGACUGCCGGUGACAAACCGGAGGAAGGUGGGGAUGAACGUCAAGUCCUCAUGGCCCUUAUGGGUAGGGCUUCACACGUCAUACAAUGGUCGGUACAGAGGGUUGCCAACCCGCGAGGGGGAGCUAAUCCCACAAAGCCGAUCGUAGUCCGGAUCGCAGUCUGCAACUCGACUGCGUGAAGUCGGAAUCGCUAGUAAUCGUGGAUCAGCAUGUCACGGUAAAUACGUUCCCGGGUCUU
rnacentral:rRNA from 1 species